rnacentral:tRNA from 1 species
GCCAGGUUGGUGUAGUGGUAACACAUCAAGAAGAAGACCCAGGUUCGAAUCCUGGACCAGGCA